rnacentral:rRNA from 1 species
GUUAGGAAUAUUGGACAAUGGGCGCAAGCCUGAUCCAGCCAUGCCGCGUGAGUGAUGAAGGCCUUCGGGUUGUAAAGCUCUUUAGUCCACGAAUAUAAUGACUGUAGUGGAAGAAUAAGCCCCGGCUAACUUCGUGCCAGCAGCCGCGGUAAUACGAAGGGGGCGAGCGUUAUUCGGAAUCACUGGGCGUAAAGCGUGCGUAGGCUGUUGUGUAAGUCAGAAGUGAAAGCCCAGGGCUUAACCCUGGAAUUGCUUUUGAAACUACAAGACUCGAAUUCGGGGGAGGAUAGCGGAAUUGUCAGUGUAGCAGUGAAAUGCGUAGAUAUUGACAGGAACACCAGUGGCGCGAGCGGCUAUCUGGACCGAUAUUGACGCUGAGGCACGAAAGCGUGGGGAGCAAACAGGAUUAGAAACCCCUGUAGUCC